ensembl:lncRNA
AUGCGUUUUAUCAUUUUCACCCUUCUACUGCUGCUGUGUGUGAAAUCUGGUAGAUUUGCACCAUAUGGGAACCACACUUUGGAUAAAAGGAGUCUAGAAACCUGCGAAAAUAUAAGGCUGCAGGCUGAAAGGAUAAUAGAAAUGUUACUCAGUGAAAAUUUCACACUUACUCCAAGCAGUACUAUCUCUUCAGAAAAUGACUGUGGUGUGGCAAAGUGUGUAGUUUUACAGAAACUUUGUGAUUAUAAUAACUGCGAGGUGACGUUCCAGAAUGAUAGCAAUAAAAUCAAGAUCGAAAUUCAAGGCCUAAUUGACAACUUACAGAUGCUCAAAUGCUCAGAUGAAGAAAAAAAGGGCAAUUUAUCAAAUUCCUCGUGUCCCUCGGAAAUUCAACAACUCUCUAUAUGGGACAAAACUAAAGCGUUUGUGGAUCAGGUCAUUGGGGCGUGUUUACAUACAAUGCAACAUGUGUGUCCGNGACCUUGUUUGUGCAUCUGACGUUUCUUCGGAUAUAUAUUGGAAAUAAGCUUUU